rnacentral:rRNA from 1 species
AUACGUAGGGGGCGAGCGUUGUCCGGAAUGAUUGGGCGUAAAGGGCGUGUAGGCGGAGAUGCAAGUCAGGAGUGAAAUCUAGGGGCUCAACCCCUAAACUGCUUUUGAAACUGUAUCCCUUGAGUAUCGGAGAGGCAGGCGGAAAUCCUAGUGUUGCGGUGAAAUGCGUAGAUAUUAGGAGGAACACCAGUGGCGAAGGCGGCCUGCUGGACGACAACUGACGCUGAGGCGCGAAAGCGUGGGGAGCAAACAGGAUUAGAUACCCUGGUAGUCCACGCUGUAAACGAUGAAUACUAGGUGUGGGGGGACUGACCCCCUCCGUGCCGCAGUUAACACAAUAAGUAUUCCACCUGGGGAGUACGAUCGCAAGAUUGAAACUCAAAUGAAUUGACGGGG